GAUGAAGAACGUAGCGAAAUGCGAUAAGUAAUGUGAAUUGCAGAAUUCAGUGAAUCAUCGAAUCUUUGAACGCACAUUGCGCCCGGCAGUAUUCUGCCGGGCAUGCCUGUUCGAGCGUCAUUUCAACCAUCAAGCCCUAGGCUUGCGUUGGAGCCCUGCGGCUGCCGCAGGCCCCUAAAAGCAGUGGCGGGCUCGCUAUCACACCGAGUGCAGUAGAUUACUCUUCGCUCAGGGCGUGUGGCGGGUUCCAGCCGUGAAACCCCCUACUUCUCAAGGUUGACCUCGGAUCAGGUAGGAAUACCCGCUGAACUUAAGCAUAUCAAUAAGCGGAGGA
rnacentral:misc_RNA from 1 species